UACGUAGGGUGCGAGCGUUAAUCGGAAUUACUGGGCGUAAAGCGUGCGCAGGCGGUCUGUUAAGACCGAUGUGAAAUCCCCGGGCUUAACCUGGGAACUGCAUUGGUGACUGGCAGGCUUUGAGUGUGGCAGAGGGAGGUAGAAUUCCACGUGUAGCAGUGAAAUGCGUAGAGAUGUGGAGGAAUACCGAUGGCGAAGGCAGCAUCCUGGGCCAACACUGACGCUCAUGCACGAAAGCGUGGGGAGCAAACAGG
rnacentral:rRNA from 1 species